CAAAAACAAUUGUUGUUAUAACACAGUAAAGAAAGAAUAUUGUUGCAAAUCAUGUUGAUAAUUUUAAGUUUUAAGUAAAAAUAAUAAACUUUAAAUGAAUGUUAUAUUUUUAUUUGUUUAUGAUAAACAAAGUAGUAACAAAAUGAACUGUAACAUCCUGAAUACAACAUUCGAAUAUAAUUUAUAUAAGAAUUAAAAUAAGAAUAAGAGCGUAUCAAAUAUAUAGAAAUAUAAAUAAAUAUUUUAUCAUACUCUCAGUAAAGCCAAUUAUUUAAAUGAAUAACAAAAAGUCAUUCACUAAAAAAUUUCUAUCAAUACACUGUCACAUCAAGACUUCUGACAAUCAAGUAUGAACUUUUGUUUUUGACUGUCGAGUUUUGUGUUUUUCUCAAACACAUUUAUGCAUAAUGAUUCUAAAUCUAUCUAGGAAUGGCACAGGUGUUGACCAUGACCAUACACGAACAUCAGCGUACUUGUUAAAAAUCAUAUCAUCAGUUUUGAUCUACAAGUGAGACUUUGGCAUCAGAAACAGGGUGUUAAUACUUCCGAUACGUCAUUGUGUCAAACAACAUCUAUGUUUAAUAUUUUUUAAUCUAUUCAGGAAGGUAAGACAUGUUGACUAGACACUUUCACAAACAUUCAUAUCAUGACUUUUGUAUAUUUUCUGGUGCUUCGGGAUCCUUGAUGCCAGCACUAUUAAGUGUUGAGAAUUGAGUACCGCUCAAGCCGGUGCUAGGGGGCGUGGGGGAUGUUUUUGCACCUAUUCAUUAUUCCUCAUGUUCAGACUCAAUCAAACCGAGUCUGCAAUUAUUAUGUAAUUUUGUUGUGAUUAGUGCUUCCGAGGGAACAUUUUAUUUCCAGAUAUUUAGAUUAUAAGAGUGACCUAAUUAUUUGAGAAAGGGAUAUGAUUCAUAUGUUUUGAACGUAGUCAUAAUGUCCGACACAUGUAUGCAUAAUGAUUUUCAAAAUCAUCCAGGAAUGACAGAACUGUUGACUGGACACGAAUAUUGGUGCAUUUUUAUCAAAAUAUGUAUUCUGUAGACAGAGUGUGACCUUGACCUAAAUGCUUCGGACCUAGAUAUUGUGCAUGCCAUAUAACCCAAACGUGCUUCACAUCAAAUCUCAGUUCCAGAAUAUGUUGUAUGGCGUGUAUUUGUGUUAGUCAAUCUCAAACCAAUAAAUAUACAAAUUGAGGUGACCAAACAAACACCAAGCACAAUUUUCAAUUCAAAUAUUUGUAAAUUGAAUAUAUAUCAAAUUGUUUUGUGUUAUAAGAGAAAUGUGUCUUUAUUACAUUUAUAAUGAAGCUAACGGAAGAUUGUUCAAGCAACGGCUAUAUUCGUCGAAACAUCAUUUUUGAUAUUUUUAAUGAAUUAUAAGUUUUAAAUUGAUAAUAAUGCAUGCUACACUCGAGUUGGCACUUUUUCGUUGUGCCUGGAGUAACAUAUAGUCCGUUAAGAUUAGCGUGCGAACAUGAUUUGUACCACCAACCAGCAUGUUUAUUGACAGCACAAUUCGUGACAUAUUUAUCCCUAUCAACAUCGUAGGUGGUAAAAUGUUGACCAUUGCUGUAUGACAAUCCAGCUGUAUCACCUGUAUAAGAAAAGAUAAAAAUAAUAAACAAUUUUGAAUACACGUGUGUCUGUUUGUUGGACCCAUUUUACUU